GAGUUUGAUCAUGGCUCAGAUUGAACGCUGGCGGCAGGCCUAACACAUGCAAGUCGGGCGGUAGAGAGAAGCUUGCUUCUCUUGAGAGCGGCGGACGGGUGAGUAAUGCCUAGGAAUCUGCCUGGUAGUGGGGGAUAACGCUCGGAAACGGACGCUAAUACCGCAUACGUCCUACGGGAGAAAGCAGGGGACCUUCGGGCCUUGCGCUAUCAGAUGAGCCUAGGUCGGAUUAGCUAGUUGGUGAGGUAAUGGCUCACCAAGGCGACGAUCCGUAACUGGUCUGAGAGGAUGAUCAGUCACACUGGAACUGAGACACGGUCCAGACUCCGUACGGGAGGCAGCAGU
rnacentral:rRNA from 1 species